AUUGAACGCUGGCGGCAUGCCUUACACAUGCAAGUCGAACGGCAGCGGGGGAGAAGCUUGCUUUUCCUGCCGGCGAGUGGCGAACGGGUGAGUAAUACAUCGGAACGUGCCCUGUAGUGGGGGAUAACUAGUCGAAAGAUUAGCUAAUACCGCAUACGACCUGAGGGUGAAAGUGGGGGACCGAAAGGCCUCAUGCUAUAGGAGCGGCCGAGGUCUGAUUAGCUAGUUGGUGGGGUAAAGGCCUACCAAGGCGACGAUCAGUAGCUGGUCUGAGAGGACGAUCAGCCACACUGGGACUGAGACACGGCCCAGACUCCUACGGGAGGCAGCAGUGGGGAAUUUUGGACAAUGGGCGAAAGCCUGAUCCAGCAAUGCCGCGUGUGUGAAGAAGGCCUUCGGGUUGUAAAGCACUUUUGUCCGGAAAGAAAUGGCUCUGGUUAAUACCUGGGGUCGAUGACGGUACCGGAAGAAUAAGGACCGGCUAACUACGUGCCAGCAGCAGCCGCCG
rnacentral:rRNA from 1 species